rnacentral:tRNA from 1 species
ACCGAAGUGGUGGAAUUGGUAGACACGCUGCUUUGAGGUGGCAGUGAGAGUAAUCUCUUAGGGGUUCAAGUCCCCUUUUCGGUA